CACAGACUGCGGAAAUUACAGGCAGCACGUUUGUUUGUAGAAUCUCUCACCCAAGUACCCAACAGCUGAGCUUUCAUACCCCUAUCGUCUUUGGACGUCUCGACCAUGGCGUCGAUUCCAACCUUACUCUGUCCUCCUUCGACAACAAUUUCUCCACGGAAACCCGCACAAAACCGACCACCCGUUGCUUCACCCCCCUCGUCCUCCUCCUCGGCGGUUCGAGCGGUAGCACCCCGGUCGCUGUUGAAACCCAUCAAUUUUUGCAGCAUAUUUCGGAGUAACAAGGGAAAAGCCACGAUGGCGGCUCUUUUGGGAGCCGGGUUUUUUGCCAUUGCCUUCGUGGGACCGGCAUCCGCCGCCGCCGCCGACCUUCCGUUGUUGUUGGGUUCUUCUUCUUUGCAACUGCUCAACGAACCAUCAAACGCCCUUUCGCUUCCCACCUGGGCCAUCCAUGUCUCCAGUGUCGUCGAAUGGAUUACGGCAAUGGCAUUGGUGUGGCAAUAUGGGGAGAAAUCUGGGAAUGAAUCGUGGAAGGGGCUAUCUUGGGGUAUGGUACCAUUGCUUGGCGGAGCAUUUUGUGCAUGCACAUGGCAUUUCUUUUAUAACUCCGAGGCUCUUCAGAUACUGGUGGCUCUCCAAGCAGCAUUGACAGUAAUAGGAAACGCCACCAUGUGCAUCGCCGCAUUCCGGAUAUACAAAUCAUCAGAGGGAAGCUCAAAGAAGUUGUAGGCCUUCCCUAGCUUUCAUAACCUUGUGGACUACAAUGCCCAUCCAACUUGUUUCUCAUUCUGUUAGAUUGGAGUGGAAAGCAGGUCUUUUAAGCUUGUAUUAAGAGGCAAGGAGUUCUCCUUCUCACUGCUGGCCCUUUUAUGCUUACUAUAAUUGCUCUUUCACUGCAAAACUAUAUUUGAUCUAUCUGAUCAUAGUUGAAUGUGAAAGAGAAGGUGGCGAAGGAUCCGGAUUCACUUGCUUGGUUGUUGAGAAAGGUUUGAAUUUGUUGUUUUGAUUCUUUCUGAAAUGUUAUAAUUGGUAUUUGAAUGCUGUUACAAAUUACAAUGAUGAUAAGUACAAAGGAAAAAAUUCGGAGGUUGUCCCAAAAACAAAAUCAUGAUAAACUAAUUAUCACCAAUGUAGCUCUUUAUAUAGACUAUGCCUGAGAAAAAAUGGCAGUGUACCCUCAAAUCAAGAAAAUGGGAGGCAUCUAAUGCCUAGUGGAGGGCAUGUUAGACUUUAUCCACAUUGCUAUCCCGUUGAGAGCUAGGUCUUGGGUGGCCUUAGCUCAAGUGGUUGAGUUUCCGCCUGAUUCAAUUCCUCACCUCGUCAAUACAUACCUCCACGUGCAAUCCGGCUGCACCCGAGGGGUAGUGUUAGACUUUAUUCCACAUCGCUUACCUAAGUCACCCAAUCUUGUUUAAUAUAAUCUUAAGGCUACUCCACUUAUUGCCAAUUGGUUUUAGGUUGAAACCCUCCAAGAAAUCUAACAGGUUUAUCUCUGAUGUGGUAAGCAGUUGAA